UGGCAAGUCCUACACAACCAGCUCCUGUCGAAUCCCCCAGGGUGGGAACGCAGCAAGGGUAGAUGGUCGCAGCGGUGUGAUGUGGUGUACUUGCCAUUU
rnacentral:SRP_RNA from 1 species